rnacentral:rRNA from 1 species
UAGGGAAUCUUCCGCAAUGGGCGAAAGCCUGACGGAGCAACGCCGCGUGAGUGAUGAAGGUCUUAGGAUCGUAAAACUCUGUUGUUAGGGAAGAACAAAUUUGUUAGUAACUGAACAAGUCUUGACGGUACCUAACCAGAAAGCCACGGCUAACUACGUGCCAGCAGCCGCGGUAAUACGUAGGUGGCAAGCGUUAUCCGGAAUUAUUGGGCGUAAAGCGCGCGUAGGCGGUUGCUUAAGUCUGAUGUGAAAGUCCACGGCUCAACCGUGGAAGGUCAUUGGAAACUGGGGAACUUGAGUGCAGAAGAGGAGAGUGGAAUUCCAUGUGUAGCGGUGAAAUGCGCAGAGAUAUGGAGGAACACCAGUGGCGAAGGCGGCUCUCUGGUCUGUAACUGACGCUGAUGUGCGAAAGCGUGGGGAUCAAACA